GUGCUACCUGGUUGAUCCUGCCAGAAG
rnacentral:rRNA from 2 species